AGAGCGAACGCUGGCGGCAGGCCUAACACAUGCAAGUCGAGCGCCCGUAGCAAUACGGGAGCGGCAGACGGGAUAGUAACACGUGGGAACGCGCCCUUCGGUUCGGAAUAACUCAGGGAAACUUGAGCUAAUACCGGAUACGCCCUUACGGGGAAAGAUUUAUUGCCGAAGGAACGGCCCGCGUCCGAUUAGCUAGUUGGUGAGGUAAUGGCUCACCAAGGCGACGAUCGGUAGCUGGUCUGAGAGGAUGACCAGCAUCACUGGGACUGAGACACGGCCCAGACUCCUACGGGAGGCAGCAGUGGGGAAUAUUGGACAAUGGGCGCAAGCCUGAUCCAGCCAUGCCGCGUGGAUGAUGAAGGCCCUAGGGUUGUAAAGUCCUUUUAACGGGGAAGAUAAUGACGGUACCGUAGAAUAAGCCCCGGCUAACUUCGUGCCAGCAGCCGC
rnacentral:rRNA from 1 species